CGGCAAGCAGGGCAUGAUGGGGGACAUAGGUUGGCAUCCCUCUGCCCAAAUGUUGAUCCUGACCCAUGGAGCUGUCCCUUGCCAUUGACUGUAAGGCUGGGCCCUGCUGCCGCCAGGCCUGGUUGACAGACCUGUCUUUGCAGGUUUCUACCCACGAGACCAGAACAGAAAACGACAUGGAGGUCAUCGACCUCUCGCCCCAGACCUGGGAGUCUGGGCAUCAUGCCACCAACAUUGACCAGAGCAGGCUGGAGACAGAGAAACUCUGACUGUGUGUUCCUAUUUUGUCCCUGACGCCUACAUGCCAGUGGGAAAAUGAACCUCCAGAAAACAUAGAGAAGACCAGCCCAGAACUGAUGUUGCCCAGGGAGAGAAGGCAGGAGGAGCGUGGCCAGCUUCUGGGGAGAUUUGGACGUUACCCCUGCAGGCCGCAGGCCUUGCCUGUCACCAGGUGUGAAAGAAACUUCUGUGUAAUGGACGGAGCUAGAAGAAGAUGCCUGACACAAGUAAAAAUUGAAAUCUCCUGCUUCCGGGGCGCCUGGCUGGAACGCUGCACAGCAGAUACCUUUCCCAUCGCGGUCUCUACCAUCCUCAGUGCUGUGGUGUGCAGAAUUGAAAUGAACAUCAUGGGAUCAGCAUCAAGACCUGCACCAGGUACACUGGCAGCUCUAGCUCCAGGACCAGCACAAUGGCCAGAGAGAGAAAUGCCUAAGGAGCUGGAAUCCCCUCGGCAAGAACUGGAAAUGACCAUAACCUUCACCCUGGGAACCUGGCUGGGCCACCUCAGCAGGGAAUUCCCCCAUCGCUUGGGCUCUCCCGGUGGCAGGGCCCUGCCGAGGGCUGUGGAAAUUAAGACCCAGCGUGCUGAGUUCCCAUGCUGGGCACAGCUCUGUGCUCCAAGGUCAGGUCUAGUGGCCACAGGCUGGCCAGCUCUCCCUCCUACUCAGUCCGGUUCUGAGAUGUUUGAAGGAAGAACCGCAGGGCCACAUGUGAGGCUGGGCUCAGUGCCCGCACCGGCUCCAUCGUCACCCGGCACAGAACGGUCACCUGAGGAGGUCGCGCCUGCCCAGGCAGCACAGGAGGCUGAAGCUCCACUUCUCCAAUGUGGGCCAGAGGAAGGACAGGAGGCUUCUCUUCCUUCUCUCAAGAGUGCCUGUGGGGUUUUUUUCUCAACUUUUUUGGUUGUUUAUUUAUUUUAUGGAUAUUUUUAUUUCCUAGUGUUAAGUCAUAUAUAUUAAAUAUUUGUUAUCAUUACUCCUUUGUAGUGUGUUCAUCAGUGUCUUAGGCAGAUUUCAAAC
rnacentral:lncRNA from 1 species